rnacentral:rRNA from 1 species
AACGAACGCUGGCGGCAUGCCUAACACAUGCAAGUCGAACGAGACCUUCGGGUCUAGUUGCGCACGGGUGCGUAACGCGUGGGAACCUGCCCUUAGGUUCGGAAUAACUCCCCGAAAGGGGUGCUAAUACCGGAUAAUGUCUUCGGACCAAAGAUUUAUCGCCUUUGGAUGGGCCCGCGUUGGAUUAGCUAGUUGGUAGGGUAAAAGCCUACCAAGGCGACGAUCCAUAGCUGGUCUGAGAGGAUGAUCAGCCACACUGGGGCUGAGACACGGCCCAGAAUCGUACGGAAGGCAGCAGUGGGGAAUAUUGGACAAGGGGCGAAAGCCUGAUCCAGCAAUGCGGCGGGAGUGAUGAAGGCCUUAGGGUUGUAAAGCUCUUUUACACGGGAUGAUAAUGACAGUAACGGGAGAAUAAGCUCCGGCUAACUACGUG